GGCCCUGGUGAGGGUGGCGGACCACUUCCUCAUCUCAGGAGAUCCCUGUGUCCUAGUGGCCUCCAGCCUACAGUUGGCAGAACGUCCCCGCGGUGGCUGGGCCUUCUCUGCUCUGAGAAAGGGAAGCCAGAGGCCUCGGGAGUGGGAAGUGGUCCAGAAACUGCUCAGGUGUGGGUGUAGGUGGAUGAGCAACAGACAGUCCUGCCUUCUUGAUUCCCCAAAAAGAUAUAGGUACAUCUUAGUAAGAGGCAUAUAAAAUACACUGAGAAGAAUGCACUCCCAGGCAAUCCAGAAUGGAUAUGUUGAAGAGAAAUGUGCUGUCAUAGGGGUUGCUGACCUAACUGUGGACUUUGAGGAGUGGCAGGACCUGGACAAUGCUCCGAGGACUCUGUACACGGAUGUGAUGAUGGAGAGCUACAGCAGCCUGCUGUCCUUGGAUCCUGAAGUCAAGCUGUUGUCUUUCAAGAAACCUGACUUACUGAGUUGACAAAGUCCUACAUUAACAGGAUUGUGUGUUACCAAACCUGAGGUGGUCUUCAAGAUGGAGUGAGGAGCAGAGCCAUGAUGGUAGAAGAAGUUCUCAAUCAGAGCCUCCCAGGUCAGUCAGCACCUACUGGGUAGGAGGCUGGGCCAGGAGAGCUCAGCAGGUGUUCAUUGUGUAGAGCUCCUUUCACUGUUUCCCCAGGUUCCAGCCAUAAGUACAGCUGAUUUCAAGCAUUAGACACAGGCAUUCCACUGCCUCUAAUGAAGGUUCCUCUGUAUUCAUCCCUCAUCCUUCUUUUUUCUAGUUGAUGGACAUUUUCUUAGACUUACCAAGAAUGCAGUCCACUUAAGGCCCUGCUAAGGCUUUUUUCUAGGUUAGGUACAUUCUCUAAAUCCUAACUUGUCCUUUUCUCCACUUUCAUACAUAUAUUCCUUCAGGAAUUGAUAAAUAAAUAAAUAUAUAAGGGGUCCAAGAACAAAGCCUCUUUGUAAGUCAGGAUGCAAAGAAGGCUUAACAUAAAAACACAGAAAAGGCUGUUGCUAGACUCACCAAGAGAACCAGGAAAUUCUGGAUGGCAAGGCCAUUAUGGGAACCUUUGGAUUCAUAUUGAAGGCUUCAGAUUAGAAUGGGAUGGUUUGAAGUUAGUAUUCUUCCUUCUUUUUUAAAAUUACUGUGAAACAACCAUGAGAUAAGAAGUGUAUAGAAGUCCCAGUUUUCUGUGAAAGCAGGAGGCAACUGAAGCUUCAAUAUAGAAAUCAGUGGGCUGGCACCAUGGCUCACUAGGCUAAUCCUCUGUCUGUGGCGCUGGCACACCGGGUUCUAGUCCUGGUUGGGGUGCCAGAUUCUGUCCUGGUUGCUCCUCAUCCAGUCCAGCUCUGCUGUGGCCUGGGAAGGCAGUGGAGGAUGGCUCAAAUGCUUGGGCCCUGCACCUGCAUGGCAUGGGAGACCAGGAGGAAGCACCUGGUUCCUGGCUUUGGAUUGGUGUGGUGCGCCGGCCACAGCACGCUGGCCGGAGCAGCCACUGGGGGGUGAACCAACGGAAAAAGGAAGACCUUUCUUUCUGUCUCUCUCUUUGUCCACUCUGCCUGUCAAAAAAACUUUUUUAAAAAAGAAGAAAUCAGUGAAUUAUCAAGCAGGAGUGUGUGAUCUAGGAAUUGAGAGAAUACCAGGGCUAUUGAUCUCACAAUCAGCUGGAAACCCCUUUUCAACAAAGGUGAACCCUACUGGGUGUCACAACCAAAUCUUUUAAACCCAUAUGGAGAGGGUUCCCAAGGUGGUAAGUUAGGAUGUUCCUAUACCCAUUACAGUUCUGAAAUUGUGAAGAUGUCAGGUUUCCUUAAGCAUAUUAAAGACACUGUCAACAUUUACUGUGUGGAAGAGAUUUUUCAUUUGAAAAACCCCACAGUCAACUUUGCCCUGGGAGGACUGAAAAUGAUACAGCCAUGGUUGCAAAGCCUGCUGCUAAGCUAUCCACUUGCAUAGAGGACAGACACAUGUCUCUCUCCCACCUGGAAACUAUGGGUCUAAGACAAAUAUGCCAUAUUUAAUGCUGAAAAAUUAACAAAGGAGAAGAAAACACACUAUUUUGUGAGGAAAAACUACUGGAGAAAAGAGCAGAAAAAGCAAAUGGUUGCUAAAAAGCUGUCAACUUAAUACACCAGCAUUUGAUAGGCACUGGGAGAUUAUUUAAUGGAUUAAAUAUUUCUCCACUUUUAAAAUGUUUAUUUAUUUAUGUUCAUCUAUAGGAAAAGCAGAAGGACAUUGAUAGACCUGAGAGACAGAUCCUCUGUUUGCUGCUUCUCUCAAAUGCCUCCAACAGCCAAAUUUAGACCAGGCCAAUGCUAGGUGCUGAAGUCCCCUGAAGGUCUGCC